rnacentral:rRNA from 1 species
GACGAACGCUGGCGGCGUGCUUAACACAUGCAAGUCGAACGGAAAGGCCCUGCUUUUGUGGGGUGCUCUAGUGUCUAACUUGUGAGUAACACGUGAGUAACCUGCCCUUGACUUUGGGAUAACUUCAUGAAACUGGGGCUACUACCGGAUAGGAGCUCCUUCUCCUUGGUGGGGUUUGGAAAGUUUCGGCGGUUGGGGAUGGACUCGCGGCUUAUCAGCUUGUUGGUGGGGUAGUGGCUUACCAAGGCUUUGACGGGUAGCCGGCCUGAGAGGGUGACCGGACACAUUGGGACUGAGAUACGGCCCAGACUCAUACGGGAGGCAGGAGUGGGGAAUAUUGCACAAUGGGCGGAAGCCUGAUGCAGCAACGCCGCGUGCGGGAUGACGGCAUGAGGGUUGUAAACCGCUGUCGCCUGUGACGAAGAGAGAGUGACGGUAAUGGGUAAAGAAGCACCGGCUAAAUACGUG